rnacentral:misc_RNA from 1 species
UUUCUGUAUAAGGUCUGGCCACAUAUCAGGAGUACUCCGAGGAUAAUGUAUUGAACCGGAGAUCAAAACUCUUCUCCUUCCGUCAACAACCAAUGCCCGGUGAUCAUACGUCACAUUAGCGGCAAAUGACGUCAUCACCAAACAAUGCAAGAAAACCACUCCAAACACUAACAUUAUAACUGAUAAACAAUACCCACUUCUUCUUUCCAUUUUCCGGCCAAAAAUCUUCAAUUUUCCG